rnacentral:rRNA from 1 species
UACGUAAGGUGCAAGCGUUGUCCGGAAUCACUGGGCGUAAAGGGCGCGUAGGUGGCGACCCAAGUCAAUGGUGAAAGCUCGGGGCUCAACCCCGAGUCGGCCGUCGAUACUGUUGGGCUGGAGCACUGUAGAGGCAGGUGGAAUUCCGGGUGUAGCGGUGGAAUGCGUAGAGAUCCGGAAGAACACCGGUGGCGAAGGCGGCCUGCUGGGCAGUAGCUGACGCUGAGGCGCGACAGCGUGGGGAGCAAACAGG